UACGUAGGGUGCAAGCGUUAAUCGGAAUUACUGGGCGUAAAGCGUGCGCAGGCGGUUUUGUAAGUCAGAUGUGAAAAUCCCCCGGGCUUAACCUGGGAACUGCGUUUGAAACUACAAGGCUAGAGUGUGGCAGAGGGGGGGUGGAAUUCCACGUGUAGCAGUGAAAUGCGUAGAGAUGUGGAGGAACACCGAUGGCGAAGGCAGCCCCCCUGGGUUAACACUGACGCUCAGGCACGAAAGCGUGGGGGAGCAAACAGG
rnacentral:rRNA from 1 species